GAGGAGGUCAUAGGGAAAGCCUCAAAGGAACAAGCCCAGCUCUACAUCAAGACAUAUUUUUGGCUUAUUACUUAGAAUUCUUCCUAUUAAAAUUUAAUGCAGUCUUCUCUAGCAGUUCAUUUUGUCUGCCAAGUCCUUUAUGACUAUUUUGAUAAGUUAUUUAUUACCUAUGGAUGCCACAGUGAUAAGCAGAUAGCAUAAGCAAGAGCUCAGGGGACAGAGAGAAAGGGCCACGUCCACUCCUGAUCAGUUGAGGCUAAAUUGUUAGAUCCUAUGACAAUCUCUGCGCGCCAUCACGGAACUCUCAAUCACACCUCUCUGUUCAACGCCCUUGGGAUCGCGGGCUCCAAAUGCACUGCAUGCCCCACCAAUUCUGUGUUCAACAAGAUUUCUAAAUCUAUGCCGUGUUCUAAAUCAGCCCUCCACACGCCUGCCAAUCUGAGUGUUCUCUCUCUUGCUUUGAUUGUGUAAGUAGUGGUGACAGUAUACGUUAAGAGGAAAAAAAUAAAAACCCCAGAGUUGGGUUGUGCAUUGUAAUUUACAAAGCAUUUUACACCCAUCUCUCACCGGAGAUGCAUAAACCUCGCUGGAGCAGGACAAGAGUGAGGACCAGAGUGUGAUGGUGCCUACCCUAUGGGUGAGGAAGUUGGCCCGAGUGGCAGGCCCCUCGUUACCCAUCUACUCAACAGCAGAACAGGCCAAUAAUUGUUCCCCACAUCACAGUGGGCUUGGAUGUUUCCAUUUUGCUUUGGAAACGAAGAGGGAAAAACAUAUGUUAACUGAACACUCAUCGUGUGUGUGGUGUCUCAUUUGAUGCCUAUUCUUGCAACAGGGAUAAUUAUAGCAUCCUUACCCAGGAGCAACUUUCUCUAGGCCAGCAAAGAAAAAGAUGCACGUGUAUCCUCUGCAAAGAACACCCUUUGCUCUUCUUAUCCCUCUUUGUCUGGAUACAUUAAAGCAGUAACUCCACCAGUAUAAAGCCCUAAACAUGAGCAGUAGGUGCUGGGUGCAUUUUCCCAACAUUCACUAGUUUGACGUGUGGAUUUACCAGUUGGAUUAUGAGUGAUCACCUAUAUUUACGGUUCUUUCGACAUACUAAAAAAUGCUCUAAUUUCCAAGGGUGUGAGUAAGACACAUAGCUUCUCUGUGUACAUCAUGGUUGUAGAGUCAGGUUCCCAAGCUGCUUUCUCUCUCUUUUACUUUAGGAACCCAGGAAGAUGCCAUUUGUUGAACAUUUGAAGGAACCAAUCAAUCAAUCAAUGUGGGUAAGCACUACUUAUUCAAGGGAUGGUACAGAAAAGGGAUCAGGCUAUAAACUGAAAUUUUGGGGAGUUCCCGGCAUGGCGCAGUGGUUAACGAAUCUGACUAGGAACCAU
rnacentral:lncRNA from 1 species